UGGGGAAUAUUGGACAAUGGGGGAAACCCUGAUCCAGCGAUGCCGCGUGAGUGAUGAAGGCCUUCGGGUUGUAAAGCUCUUUCAGUGGGGAAGAUAAUGACGGUACCCACAGAAGAAGGACCGGCAAACUUCGUGCCAGCAGCCGCGGUAAUACGAAGGGUCCUAGCGUUGUUCGGAAUUACUGGGCGUAAAGGGCGCGUAGGUGGCUUACUAAGUCAGGUGUGAAAUCCCCGAGCUUAACUUGGGAAUUGCAUUUGAGACUGGUAGGCUAGAGUUCGAGAGAGGUGAGUAGAAUUCCUAGUGUAGAGGUGAAAUUCGUAGAUAUUAGGAAGAAUACCAGAGGCGAAGGCGGCUCACUGGCUCGAUACUGACACUAAGGCGCGAAAGCGUGGGGAGCAAA
rnacentral:rRNA from 1 species